rnacentral:misc_RNA from 1 species
CAGAGUUGCAAAACUCCCACAAACCAUCGCGAAUCUUACCCGUACGGUUGCCUCGGCGCUGGCGGUCCGGAAGGCCCUCGGGCCCCCCCGGAUCCUCGGGUCUCCCGCUCGCGGGAGGCUGCCCCGCCGGAGUGCCGAAACCAAACUCUUGAUAUUUCAUGUCUCUCUGAGUAAAACUUUUAAAUAAGUACA